rnacentral:hammerhead_ribozyme from 1 species
AUUUAGAGCUGAUGAGUCCCAAAUAGGACGAAAUGCACAUCCUGGAU